rnacentral:rRNA from 1 species
GCCAGACUCCUACGGGAGGCAGCAGUGGGGAAUAUUGCACAAUGGGGGAAACCCUGAUGCAGCGACGCCGCGUGAGUGAGGAAGUAUUUCGGUAUGUAAAGCUCUCUCAGCAGGGAAUAGAAAAGAAGGUACCUGAAAAAGAAGCCCCGGCUAACUACGUGCCAGCAGCCGCGGUAAUACGUAGGGGGCAAGCGUUAUCCGGAUUUACUGGGUGUAAAGGGAGCGUAGACGGCAUGGCAAGUCAGAUGUGAAAGCCCGGGGCUCAACCCCGGGACUGCAUUUGAAACUGUCAGGCUGGAGUGCAGGAGAGGUAAGUGGAAUUCCUAGUGUAGCGGUGAAAUGCGUAGAUAUUAGGAGGAACACCAGUGGCGAAGGCGGCUUACUGGACUGUAACUGACGUUGAGGCUCGAAAGCGUGGGGAGCAAACAGGAUUAGAUACCCCUGUAA